AUUUAAUUUUAAUAAAUUACAUUUUGUUUUACAAAGUUAGGAGAGCAAUGUUUAAGUCAAGCCUGAUGUUGCCUUACACAUAAAAGAAUGAUCCCAGUCACUUCGACACAGUGAGGCGUAGAGCUUAUUAAUAAACCCUGGUA